AGAGUUUGAUCCUGGCUCAGGAUGAACGCUGGCGGCGUGCCUAACACAUGCAAGUCGAACGUGAAGGUAGAGCAAAAUGCUUCGGUGUGGCGCUUUACUGGAAAGUGGCGAACUGUUGAGUAACACGUAGGUGACCUGCCUCGAAGUGGGGGAUAACCAUUGGAAACGAUGGCUAAUACCGCAUAGUCCUAUCCUUGUGGGAACUUGGAUUGGUAAAGCUCCGGCGCUUCGAGAGGGGCCUGCGUCCGAUUAGCUAGUUGGUGAGGUAAAAGCUCACCAAGGCGACGAUCGGUAGCUGGUCUGAGAGGACGAUCAGUCACACGGGAACUGAGACACGGUCCCGACUCCUACGGGGGGCAGCAGUGAGGAAUAUUGCACAAUGGGGGAAACCCUGAUGCAGCAACGCCGCGUGGAGGAUGAAGGCCUUUGGGUCGUAAACUCCUUUUCUGUGGGAAGAGCAAGGACGGUACCCAUGAAGGAAGCACCGGCUAACUCCGUGCCAGCAGCCGCGGUAAUACGGGGGGUGCAAGCGUUAUUCGGAUUUACUGGGCGUAAAGGGCGCGUAGGCGGUCUGAUAAGUCAGUUGUGAAAGCCCGGGGCUCAACCCCGGAAGUGCAAUUGAAACUGUCAGGCUUGAGUAUGGUAGAGGGAAGUGGAAUUCCUGGUGUAGCGGUGAAAUGCGUAGAUAUCAGGAGGAACACCGGUGGCGAAGGCGACUUCCUGGACCAAUACUGACGCUGAGGCGCGAAGGUGUGGGGAGCAAACAGGAUUAGAUACCCUGGUAGUCCACACAGUAAACGGUGAUCACUAGGUGUUGCGGGUAUUGACCCCUGCAGUGCCGGAGCUAACGCAUUAAGUGAUCCGCCUGGGGAGUACUAUCGCAAUAUUAAAACUCAAAGGAAUUGACUGGGGCCCGCACAAGCGGUGGAGCAUGUGGUUUAAUUCGACGCAACGCGAAGAACCUUACCUGGAUUUGACAUCCUGGGAAUCUUUUUGAAAGAUUUGAGUGCCCUUCGGGGAACCCAGUGACAGGUGCUGCAUGGCUGUCGUCAGCUCGUGUCGUGAGAUGUUCGGUUAAGUCCGGCAACGAGCGCAACCCCUAUCUUUAGUUACCAUCAUUUAGUUGGGUACUCUAGAGAUACUGCCCCGGUUAACGGGGAGGAAGGUGGGGAUGACGUCAAGUCCUCAUGGCCCUUAUGUCCAGGGCUACACACGUGCUACAAUGGUAUGUACAGAGGGUCGCAAGCUCGCGAGGGUUAGCUAAUCCCUUAAAGCAUAUCUCAGUUCGGAUAGGAGUCUGCAACUCGACUCCUUGAAGUUGGAAUCGCUAGUAAUCGCGGAUCAGCAUGCCGCGGUGAAUACGUUCCCGGGCCUUGUACACACCGCCCGUCACACCACGAGAGUUGAUUGUACCAGAAGUCGUUGGGCUAAACCUUCGGGGAGGCAGGAGCACCAGGUAUGGUUGAUAAUUGGGGUGAAGUCGUAACAAGGUA
rnacentral:rRNA from 1 species